rnacentral:rRNA from 1 species
AACCUGCCCAGCAGAGCGACCCGUGAACACGUUCAACCUCGUGGGUGUGGGGGCGUGGCUCGGUGCCUUGUGUGCCGGCCCGUCCCUCUCCCAAGCCGGGGGAGCGCCCACUUGUGGACUGUUUCCCCGGCAAAACAACGAACCCCGGCGCGUAAUGCGUCAAGGAAUACAAACAUUAUGUGUGUGCUCUCCCGUCGCCCGGUCAGCCGGGCGUUGGAGCGGUGCCAUGUCUUAACAAUAAACGACUCUCGGCAACGGAUAUCUCGGCUCUCGCAUCGAUGAAGAACGUAGCGAAAUGCGAUACUUGGUGUGAAUUGCAGAAUCCCGUGAACCAUCGAGUUUUUGAACGCAAGUUGCGCCCGAAGCCUUUGGCUAAGGGCACGUCUGCCUGGGCGUCACGCAUCGCGUCUCCCCCAAACCCACACCGAGUGGAGGGGAAGGAGGAUGGUCUCCCGUGACUCACCGGUCGCGGCUGGCCUAAAAUUGGAGCCCCCGGCAUCAGGAUGCCGUGGCAAUAGGUGGUGAACAAGGCCUCGGCCAAGCAAGCAACCCGCCGCGCGUCACGAUGUCAAAGUGAGCUCGAAGGACCCUUUUGGUUGCCUAACGGCAGCCUAACCGUUGCGAC